rfam:Oceanobacillus picturae, S1, WGS project CCAX01000000 data, contig: 000002
AAUUUCCUUCGGGGUCGGGUGAAAUUCCCAACCGGCGGUGAUGAAGUGUUAUGCUUCUAAGUCCGUGACCCGUGCGGCGCAAUGCCAAGCGGUGGAUCUGGUGAAACUCCAGAGCCGACAGUAAAGUCUGGAUGGGAGAAGGAAUUG